AUAUUGGCUGGGGCUCCAGGGUAUGCUUUGUGCUCCAGCGACUCCUUUAAGGAUCUUUCCAAAGGUCUUCAAUUUUGAUAUAAGCAACAAAGAAUAAGAGUACUCAUGAUGUGUGACAAAUGGCAUGCCUCCUGCAAGAGUUAUGAGUUAUGUGCCUAAACAGGAAGGAUCAUCUCAUUGCAGAAUUAGGGCAUCAUCCAGUGGGAAGGGAGUUUCAAGGUCAUUUAGUCCAGCCUCCGAGUGAUACAGAAAUUCUCUUUGCAGCAUCCCUAUCACGUGGCCAUCAAACUUCUACUAGUGUAUUCAUCCACACCUGGUCUGUCUAAAACCUUGAGAACAGCCCCUUGUAUAGUUCAAUAGCCCCAGCUGAAGGAAAAGUUUUUGUUAUUUUCAGUAAACAUAUUCUGUUGUGUAACUUUGGUUGAUCGGUUCCCCUUUAGCGACCCAGAAAACACUGAGCUCCCUCUGACACCCAUGCCCUUUGACUGAAAGUCAGCCAUAAAAUAGAGCACCAGAGUAACUUUCCAGAGUCCCAGAUUUGCCCCUUCGCUCCACUGCAAAUCAAAUGUGUGACCUGUGUUUCAAUUCAAUUAGCCUUUUCCUAAGGGUUUCACUGUUUCUGUUCCUGUGAGUUUCUUUUUUAAAGAUCUGUAUUUGUAU
ensembl:lncRNA novel transcript